CUUUCGGGGAGCGAGCCGAAACUGCGAACGGCUCAUUAGUCAGAUAAGGUUCCUUGGCGAAAAGCGGGUCGGUUUAAUGGAUAACUGUGGUAAUUCUAGAGCUAAUACAUGCAACGCACCGUGGUCCCCCCCUUUCACCAAAACCUCUUUUGGCUCUGCGGGGCGGGGGAAACGGCAUUUAUUCUCUGGACCAGAUCGCCCUAGCCCGCGAAGCUACCGUCAAAAGUAGCGACGGGGCGAAGCGACAAGUGUUGAAAUCCGAAUAACUGUGCCGAUCGCGGGGUCUUCCCGGGCCCCCGACGACUUUGCCAUGAAGUGUCUGUCCCAUCAAUUUGCGAUGGUCGGCGACCUGCCUACCACGGUGUUGACGGGUAACGGGGAAUCAGGGUUCGAUUCCGGAGAGGGAGCCUGCGAAACGGCUACCACC
rnacentral:rRNA from 1 species